AACACUUUCACAAUGGGCGACCGACUCAGCAGUCGGCGUACACCGCCGCCGACGCCCCCUCGGCUCUUGUAACCCGCAAUGGCGAGGCCUUCACGCCAAACCCUGGCCCCGCCGUCGGCGACCUCCCUCCGCCGGCUGUACGGCCACUCGAAGCCGCCUCCUCCGCCGGCCUCGGCGUUUCGGAAGGCCGCCGCGGUGCUCCUCCUCGCCGCGGCCGUGGCGCUGCCCUGCGCUGUGCUGUACCGAGCCCUCGUGUCGAACACGCCUCCACCGGUGCAGGUCGCCUGGGAUCGCCGGCAGUGGGACCCACCUCUUGCUACGGUUGUGGUCCCCAAAGCCGAGGAGGACCGCGACCUCGACCACAUUUCCGCCGACGAUCUGGACAUUGAAUAUCUCAAACUUGAGCAAGUUCUACAAGCGGCUUCUAUGGACAAUAAGACCAUUAUAUUGACGACCCUUAAUGCUGCAUGGUCUUCUCCAGGCUCAGUUAUAGAUCUUUUCAUUGAUAGCUUCCGGCAUGGUGUUAGAACUAGUUCACUACUGAAACACCUUGUGAUAAUAGCCUUCGACAGGAAAGCAUAUAGACGAUGUACUGAGAUCCAUACCUACUGUUAUGCUCUUGUAACCGGUAAUGUGGACUUUUCUCAAGAGAAGAGGUUUCUGACUGCUGGGUAUCUGGAGAUGAUGUGGAAAAGGCUGGAUUUCUUGCGCUUAGUUCUUGAAAAAGGUUACAGCUUCAUUUUCUCGGAUGCAGAUAUAAUGUGGUUUCGCAAUCCAUUUCCAUAUUUUUAUCCGGAUGGAGAUCUUCAGGUUGCAUGUGAUCACUAUGUAGGCAAUGCAACUGACUUGAGAAACAUAGCUAAUGGGGGGUUCAACUAUGUGAAGUCGAACAAUCAAAGCAUAGAGUUUUACAAGUUUUGGUAUUCUUCACGACUGAGAUACCCUGGCUAUCAUGACCAGGAUGUACUUAAUUUUAUUAAGCAUGAUCCUUACAUUAUGGAUAUUGGAUUAACCAUUAAGUUUUUAAGUACUACAUACUUUGGUGGUAUUUGUGAGCCAAGCAAAGAUUUAAAUGAGGUUUGCACAAUGCAUGCUAACUGUUGCAUUGGAUUGCAAAGCAAACUUCAUGAUUUAAGAAUCAUCAUGGAAGGUUGGAGGGAUUAUAUGUCUAUGCCACCAAGCUUAAAAGCAUCUGGGGCAUUCUCAUGGAGGGUACCACAAAAUUGCAGUCUUUCAUUGUUAAACCAGUGAGACAUGUUUUUGGAUGCAAAUGAUGUGGUAUAGUCAAACAUGUCAAUUUCUGAGAAUUUUGUUGGCAACUGGAAAGAAAAAUGUACUUGAAAGGAAAAACAAGUGCAUGAGGAACUCCACCUUUUGUUUGAGAAAGACCCGGCUUAGCCAGAUUAUAUCUCGAGGACACUGCCAGUUGAUGCCUUCAUCAGUGUUAUGCAUCCUCUACUUCGGAAAAAUAACCAACACGAAGGGAACAUUCCAAGUUCAAGGGUUGAAGGCAUCGGCACAGCAAAAGAUGAACUGGCUAUGACUUCCCAGUGUAUCCAUGACCAUGCAGAAUGACUGAAUGAGGGGUGGAAUGGUAUUUUCAGUGUUUAUAGGAGUCCUGUUGUUUCUAAUGCAUUGAGGCUCACUUAAUUCAUUUGGUAAAGUGAAUGAAAAACAUGAGAAUAUAUAUUUCCCUUUGAUGGCACUAUACAUUCUUUUGAUUGAUUCAAAGGAAUGGAGUAAAGAAAUAUAAAUGAAACUACAACUAUCAUCCGAUCUCAGAUUCAAGUGAAACAACGCAGGAUUUCCAGAAAGUGAAACAACCCAGGAUUUCCAGAAAGAUUUCCAGAAAUGACGUAAAUGGCAUUCUGUUUUCCCAUUGACAUUGCUUUGACUUUUAUUUCACUGUGCUUAUUCGAGUCAUGUGUUCCUAUCAUAUUCUUGUGUUCUACUACCUCUGUAGUCUGUACACUAAUUAUAAGACGUUUUUGCAAUUCAAUAGUGUACAGAGGGAGUAUUUCAUAUAUUAUCAAAUCCUGUGAAUCAAGAGGUUCAAUACCGAGGAAGGAACUUCAGUUGAUAUCCACUAGAAAAUCGAAAUACUGAGGAAGGAAUUUUUUUUUUGACAGAACCGAGGGAGGAAUUUUAGUUGCAGUCCACUAGAAAAUGGAAACCAAUUGUACGUCAUGCAAAAGAGAAGUGUUUUAGGCUGCUAGCUAUUUUGACCUCAUUAAUUGUUAAACACAAAUGCAUUGAGGCAAGGAAAUAUACAGAUUGUAGCUGGUAGAAUCAUGCAAAUUUAGAAAGUUCAAAUUUAAGUCGUUAAUGAGAGUUUUCCUUAUUGGUAAACUUUGAUUUCAUUUAGGCAAACAGAACCAGGACUACCAACAACACUGAAACUGUAAAACCACGUGUACUACAGGAGGUAA